rnacentral:rRNA from 1 species
UACGUAGGGGGCAAGCGUUGUCCGGAAUCAUUGGGCGUAAAGAGCGUGUAGGCGGCCCGAUAAGUCCGCUGUGAAAGUCCAGGGCUCAACCCUGGAAUGCCGGUGGAUACUGUCGGGCUCGAAUCCGGAAGAGGUGAGUGGGAUUCCUGGUGUAGCGGUGAAAUGCGCAGAUAUCAGGAGGAACACCUAUUGCGAAGGCAGCUCGCUGGGACGUAACUGACGCUGAGACGCGAAAGCGUGGGGAGCAAACAGG